rnacentral:rRNA from 1 species
GUGGGGAAUAUUGGACAAUGGGCGCAAGCCUGAUCCAGCCAUGCCGCGUGAGUGAUGAAGGCCCUAGGGUUGUAAAGCUCUUUCACCGGAGAAGAUAAUGACGGUAUCCGGAGAAGAAGCCCCGGCUAACUUCGUGCCAGCAGCCGCGAUAAUACGAAGGGGGCUAGCGUUGUUCGGAAUUACUGGGCGUAAAGCGCACGUAGGCGGACAUUUAAGUCAGGGGUGAAAUCCCGGGGCUCAACCCCGGAACUGCCUUUGAUACUGGGUGUCUGGAGUAUGGAAGAGGUAAGUGGAAUUCCGAGUGUAGAGGUGAAAUUCGUAGAUAUUCGGAAGAACACCAGUGGCGAAGGCGACUGACUGGACAAGUAUUGACGCUGAGGUGCGAAAGCGUGGGGAGCAAACAGGAUUAGAUACCCGUGUAGUCC